rnacentral:rRNA from 1 species
UACGUAGGCAGCGAGCGUUGUUCGGAAUCACUGGGCGUAAAGCGCGUGUAGGCGGCCCACUAAGUCUGAUGUGAAAGCCCGGGGCUCACCCCCGGAAGUGCAUUGGAAACUGGUGGACUCGAGUCCCGGAGAGGAGAGUGGAAUUCCUGGUGUAGCGGUGAAAUGCGUAGAUAUCAGGAGGAACACCGGUGGCGAAGGCGGCUCUCUGGACGGUGACUGACGCUGAGACGCGAAAGCGUGGGGAGCAAACAGG